rnacentral:rRNA from 1 species
AUUGAACGCUGGCGGCAGGCCUAACACAUGCAAGUCGAACGGUAACAGGAAACAGCUUGCUGUUUCGCUGACGAGUGGCGGACGGGUGAGUAAUGUCUGGGAAACUGCCUGAUGGAGGGGGAUAACUACUGGAAACGGUAGCUAAUACCGCAUAACGUCGCAAGACCAAAGAGGGGGACCCUCGGGCCUCUUGCCAUCGGAUGUGCCCAGAUGGGAUUAGCUUGUUGGUGGGGUAACGGCUCACCAAGGCGACGAUCCCUAGCUGGUCUGAGAGGAUGACCAGCCACACUGGAACUGAGACACGGUCCAGACUCCUACGGGAGGCAGCAGUGGGGAAUAUUGCACAAUGGGCGCAAGCCUGAUGCAGCCAUGCCGCGUGUAUGAAGAAGGCCUUCGGGUUGUAAAGUACUUUCAGCGAGGAGGAAGGGAGUAAAGUUAAUACCUUUGCUCAUUGACGUUACCCGCAGAAGAAGCACCGGCUAACUCCGUG